UAGCCACAUCUUGAGUAUUAUGUGGAAUAUGAAGAAUGCAAGGAGCUGAUGAGGUAAAAAUGAGAGGUAUCGGGGAAAAAGAUAGCACCAAAUUUUAAGCUUUGUCAAAAAUAUCCGUGUGCAAGAAGCACUAGAAUGCUCAGAAGCUCAUCAUAAAACAGCUACAGAGCCUAUAGUUAUAGGUGAUUGGCACAUACUAUGGACGGCCAUGGACAGCUCGCCGUGGCAACGCUUGUGGCAAUCACAAAGGGACUCUCUUGUCCCUUUAAUUUCUAGUCUGUAUUCUAAUUGGAGUUACAUCUCAUAUGUGCCAUGCACCUUCAGAAAGCUAAUAUAUAACAAACUGCGAUCCCAUGUCAGAGUGUAUGUCCGGUUGAUUCUGAGCUCAUCUCACCGGCCAGCGUCAGUAGCAGCUUUGAUGUUAAUUAGGCGCUGCAUCCCUAUGCUGUUUUCUCAUUAGCAGCACCACUGCAUAGUGCAAACUCUGUUGCCCAUUGGCUGCAUCCCUAUUCCGUUGCCCAUUGGGACUGUUUUCUCAAUUCCUUUUUGCUUCUCAGCGCUUCCCCAUUGCUACCUCCGUAUAAAAAAAAAUCAAUUCCUAGAAUCAUCUGAAGUUAAACUAUCUUAUGUUUAACCAACUUUAUAGUAAAGAGCAGUAUCAUCUAUGACACCAAUAAAUACAUUAGAACAGUAUAUGUCAUAAGGUACGUAGUGAUAUUUGGUGUCACUAAUUUUAUUGGUUUUCUUUAUAAAUUUGGUCAAAGUUUUUUUUACUUAAGAUAACUAUACAAGUUGAUUUAUUUUAGGACGGAGGUAGUAUAAUGGUAGGUUUCCAUUCAUAGUCCUUUUACAAAAUGAAGCUUCUAUAGUUUCUAAAACAAAGAUUACAAAAAAAGGAUUCUCCCACUCACACGCUUGUUGUAUAUAUGCCAGCACAUCUUAGCCUUUUAAAGUUUGAUUGAUCACAGCAUCGAAGCUUGGUCCCAUGUAAAUUGGUGGCCAAUAUUUCUUUUUUGUCUGAUUAAUACUGUAAUUAUUUACUGAGUAUAUGUUAUUGCCAUGACCCGAUCAUGACAUGUUGCUGAGCAUAAUCAUCAUUGUCAUCAUACGCAUUCAAAUCUCAUAUAAAAAACAGUGCUGAAAUCUGAUUUCAUACUGCUGACUGUUGGUUUGACGGAGGGUCUGCCACCCACAGCGAAGGGUCUAUCACUCCAUCUGCACGGACUAACAAGAGUCCAGUCUCUGUCAGUAUAAAACUUAUAGGUGACGAAGAGUCUGGCGCCAGAACCACCAGAUGGUCCGUCAACCCAUCCUAUGCCGUGAACAUGAGGUGUUACUUUAGGAGUAUCCUUGGCCCACCUGUCAUACCAGCUGUCCAGCUCACGAAAACCCAAACCCCAGAGCCACAGCAGCUCAUCCAUUCACUUUCACACUCCCUCUCUGUCUCUCUAGUUCAUCACUCUCUCUCUCUCUACACUCUCCCACACCAAAGAAACAAGGAGAAGGAAGAGAAAGGAAAGGAAGGGAGAUGGGAGGCUGCUGCAGCUGAAGAUGAAGAUGGAGAUCACCUAGAGGCAGCCAUCCAGAAGAGGUAGGGAUUAGAAGGGGAAGGAGACCUCUCACCAUCACAAUUUGGAGGAGUUAAACAAUGGAGCAAGAAGUCGAGUCAUCAACGGGAUAUCCAUCACUUUGGGAAGCUUACAAUCUUCUUUUGCAGCCCUUGGUAUGAAGCAAUUCAAGCUAAACCCUAGUUUCACUUCUUAUGAGCACAAAACCUAGGAAAUAUCUAUUUGAGACCCAAUCUUGUUUGCACGCAAUGUAGCUUCAACUACCUGGUUAGAUAUGCUCUAGAGUAUGCUAGGAAGCUACCCUAAAGAUAGAUUUCACAUGCAAGCUUUUGUAGACUAAGUUUUAGAUUUUGAGUUGGUAGAAAUAUGCACUGACAGAGAGUCCACCCUGACGGAGGGUCCAUUACUACUACUGCAACCCGACUGCUUUACAGUUAAAUUGAACAUUUUAUAAUUCUAUGGAGAGUCUGCCAUCUUUGAUGGUGGGGUCCGUGGAGUUAUAUUCCCAAGACUGAGAGCCUUAGACUACAGAAUUUUCUUAAUGGAGUGUCCGUGGAUAGCCACAGAGUGUCCGCUGAUUUAUAGCCAUGAAUUUUAGAGAGACAACCCGAGAGCAGCCAGUUUGUGGUGAGGCUCUGUCCUUUGUGGCAGAACCUUCCGCUGAAACAUGAACACUUAGAAGACUAAGUACCCUACAUACUUGUUUUGACGGACAAUCCACCACCAUGACGGAAUAUUCUGUUACCACUAUACCAGAGAGCACAAUUCUUCCAAGGCCACAGAAUUCCUGUACCGGAACGUCUGUGAAUUCUCACAAAGAGUCUGUUGAAUUAUAAAAUAGCAAUCCCAAAGUGACUAUCCAAGUGUUGCGGAGUGUCAGUGCCUUGUCACAGAGGAUCCGAUAGCCCCAGCUAAGUACCCAUGUUUGCGGACUGUUCGACUCAUAUCAGAGGGUCCAUUAACCCAAACCGACACCCCAAGUGCACAACACACAAACACUUAACACAUGUGAUCAAAGGUUAAUCAAAUAACAUCAAUGCAUCACAUAUCAUGCCAUUUACUUUAUACACUUCACAAGGAAGCCAUUGUAGAAGAAGAGCCCCAAUAGGCAGAAGCCAAUGAUGAGCCAACCAAUGUAGCUCAAGGCAAGUCCCUGUGCAUCCCUAUGCUUUUGCUAAAUGCAUAAUGAACUAUGGUUAUCUGUUGCAUCGAUAUGUUACUAUAUGAUCCAAUUAACCAUGAGUUAACUAGUUGAGUUAUCACACCUUGAUGAUACAACACCACUUAACCAUUGUUUGUUUCCUUUUAUUAAUUCAUGCUUAGUAAGAUCAUAAGUCGAGUUAAUGAUGGGUUUCUCAUUACUCGCGUGAUAUUAGCUAGGCAUGUUUUAAGAAACACUCAUUGAGAAUGAUCUAAAGCUUGACCAAUCAUGAACUAAUGAUGUUGAAUAGUCGGCGAGGGGUUGGGUCAUGGCAAGAAGGUGGUGAUCUUGAAUGAUAUAGCUUGCUAACCGGUUAAGGACUAUGUAACCAUAAUAAUGAGGAAUGGACAAAAAAUGUACAAACUCACAAAUGGGGGUGACAAGCAAGUGACUAAUUAUGACUGGUUUGUUUGUGAAACUAGCAUGAGGGUAGCUCCAGGUAGAUGGUGGUAGCUUUACCUGAGAACUUAUCAACCCUUUCAUGAACAUUCUUGGACAGAUUGGGAAAAGGUUGAGACAUCGAGGUAUCCCUUACGUACCGAUGGGUCGUAUGAGCAAUAUCCCUUGUUUUUGUAUAAAUGCUUCACUUGCAAUUGCUAAGUUCGUAGUUAACAUUUAUCAUUCUUGUAUAAAUGCUUUUGUGUGCAAAAUCAAAUGUAUUCCUUGCUACUAGCCAAAUUGCAUGAUCCUUGUUUAUUAUAUCGGGUAAGUCCUGCAGGGUACAAUUGAGUACUCACCCUAUGUGAUCUUGAGUUUUGCAGGUAGUUCAGCCCCCGUACAUGGUUUCUUCUAUGCCCGAGUCCUAGUCAGAUCAGGAGUGGUAGAGAGACCAAUGUCUCAUAGAUGUGUGGUGGUGGCACACCCACACAUUUGUUAUCAUGAAAACUAUGUUGAAAGACUUCCGCUAGACUCUGGUGGUAGUAUGUAAUGUGUAAACUUGUGUUAUGAACUAAGUGUGUGAAGUCCUGGAUUGUAAACUUAAGUAUCUUGAACUUGUAAUAUGACCUAGCUGUGGUCGUGAUGUAUUCUCUCUCUUUGGUUGAUCCUGGGUCAAGGCUGGUAUUUUAGUACAUCUUAUGAGAGGUGUACCGGGAUGACCAAUUAAGUGAAGUGUCUAAUUUAAUAGUCCUCGGACAACAAUCAUCUUGGGUACUCGCUUAAGAGGGCAUUGGUCCUGAUAAUUGUUGAAGGCAAAUUUGGCUAGAUAACACUGAAAGUGAGGCUGUGCAUCAGAAAGUUUAAUUGAACGGCAGGCACUAACAAAUUUGCUAGCACACGUCCAUCAAAAUACUGUUUUUUUAGCUGACAACUAGGAAGGGCAAUAUCUGGAAACUAGUUAAGGUCCGGUGCCCUUGAGCCAGGGAGUCCAGCUCCAAUAGGAAAUGCGUCGGUGUCU
rnacentral:lncRNA from 1 species